rnacentral:rRNA from 1 species
GACGAACGCUGGCGGCGUGCCUAAUACAUGCAAGUUGAGCGCUGAAGGUUGGUACUUGUACCAACUGGAUGAGCAGCGAACGGGUGAGUAACGCGUGGGGAAUCUGCCUUUGAGCGGGGGACAACAUUUGGAAACGAAUGCUAAUACCGCAUAAAAACUUUAAACACAAGUUUUAAGUUUGAAAGAUGCAAUUGCAUCACUCAAAGAUGAUCCCGCGUUGUAUUAGCUAGUUGGUGAGGUAAAGGCUCACCAAGGCGAUGAUACAUAGCCGACCUGAGAGGGUGAUCGGCCACAUUGGGACUGAGACACGGCCCAAACUCCUACGGGAGGCAGCAGUAGGGAAUCUUCGGCAAUGGACGAAAGUCUGACCGAGCAACGCCGCGUGAGUGAAGAAGGUUUUCGGAUCGUAAAACUCUGUUGGUAGAGAAGAACGUUGGUGAGAGUGGAAAGCUCAUCAAGUGACGGUAACUACCCAGAAAGGGACGGCUAACUACGU